rnacentral:sRNA from 1 species
CCCACGGCUAGGGAGCGCGACCCGAAAAAUGCGGCGCCAAACUCCUCCAGCAACGCCGCUUGCCGUGGGCUCCCCAUUUUGCUGGCAGGG